CGGCUCAGUAACACGUGGACAACCUACCCUAUGGAGGGGGAUAACCCCGGGAAACUGGGGAUAAUACCCCAUAGACUAUAGAUGCUGGAAUGCUUUGUAGUUGAAAGGUCCGCCGCCAUAGGAUGGGUCUGCGGCCGAUUAGGUUGUUGUUGGGGUAACGGCCCAACAAGCCUGUAAUCGGUACGGGUUGUGGGAGCAAGAGCCCGGAGAUGGAUUCUGAGACACGAAUCCAGGCCCUACGGGGCGCAGCAGGCGCGAAAACUUUACAAUGCGGGAAACCGUGAUAAGGGAACUCCGAGUGCCCGUAAAAUCGGGCUGUCCAUCUGUUUAAAUAACAGGUGAAGAAAGGGCCGGGCAAGACCGGUGCCAGCCGCCGCGGUAAUACCGGCGGCUCGAGUGGUGGCCACUAUUACUGGGCUUAAAGCGUUCGUAGCUGGUCUGUUAAGUCUCUGGGGAAAUCUACUGGCUUAACCAAUAGGCGUCUCAGGGAUACUGGCAGACUAGGGACCGGGAGAGGUGAGAGGUACUCCAGGGGUAGGAGUGAAAUCCUGUAAUCCUUGGGGGACCACCUGUGGCGAAGGCGUCUCACCAGAACGGCUCCGACAGUGAGGGACGAAAGCUGGGGGAGCAA
rnacentral:rRNA from 1 species